GUUGCUGUCUCCACAUAGUUUGGUCCUUCUUUUGUGCCAUUUGGAUAAUGCCCAUUUUAUGCACUGGCUCAUGACCCCAUGAGGCAGACAUGGAAACAAUGGUGAAUUCACUACUGAACUAGCCAGCAAGUAUGCACAUACUUUUUUUUUUUAGAGGUUAGCAGAAUACUUUGGGUUGUUUUUCAGGUGCUCCAUAUGCCUGCACGUGACCAAGGAAACUGGGAGGCUCAACCAAGCACUGAGCAUUGAAAACAGCAGGAAAGGUUCACAAUGGCAGAAUCUCACCACAGUUCCCUCCCCUGAGCACAGCCGGGUCUCUCUACCUGACCCUUAUCCAUGUGCUCACUCUCACCGUUUUCCAUCUGGUUAGGUUUCUGCUUUCUCUACCCUGCUGAGAGCUUUCACACAGGGUGAUUGUGAUGUACACACACACACACACACACACACACACACACACACACACACACACGACUGUACCAUGUCCAGUCCCCAAUGAAAGCAGCGAUUCCAGACUUGCCUUGUUAAGGUCCCUAUCAAUUGUCAGCUGGAAUUACACUGUGCACCUUCCCCCACCCAGACACAACUGUGUGUAAUGGCCCUGGACCUCAGUGGCCUUCAAUUUCAUGCAUAUAUUUAUCUUUUUUCCAUUACUAAAAAUACCUUUAGGGCUUGCUUUCUAUUUGACUGAGUGAUUGCAUGCCUGUCCCCAGCUUCUAACUCCCAAUACCCAGUGCCCUGGACAUUGCUUUGUACAGUCUUCAGGCAGAGAUUUGUGGGGGGAAAAAGACUGUAUUUUCAUUAUAUAAGCUCAAA